rnacentral:rRNA from 1 species
AUUGAACGCUGGCGGCAGGCCUAACACAUGCAAGUCGGGCGAGUGGCGGACGGGUGAGUAAUGCAUGGGGAUCUGGCUGAUGGCGGGGGAUAACUACUGGAAACGGUAGCCAAAACCGCAUACUAUCAGAUGAACCCAUCUGGGAUUGGCUAGUAGGUGAGGUAACGGCUCACCUUGCCGACGAUCCCUAGCUGGUCUGAGAGGAUGAUCAGCCACACUGGGACUGAGACACUGCCCAGACUCCUACGGGAGGCAGCAGUGGGGAAUAUUGCACUAUGGGCGCAAGCCUGAUGCAGCCAUGCCGCGUGUAUGAAGAAGGCCUUCGGGUUUUAAAGUACUUUCAGUCGGGAGGCGUUACCGACAGAAGAAGCACCGGCUAACUCCGUGCCAGCAGCCGCGGUAAUUC